rnacentral:rRNA from 1 species
CACGUAGGGCGCAAGCGUUGUCCGGAAUUAUUGGGCGUAAAGAGCUCGUAGGCGGUCUGUUACGUCUGCUGUGAAAACCCGGGGCUUAACCCUGGGCUUGCAGUGGAUACGGGCAGACUAGAGGCAGGUAGGGGAGAAUGGAAUUCCCGGUGUAGCGGUGAAAUGCGCAGAUAUCGGGAGGAACACCGGUGGCGAAGGCGGCAUCCUGGACCAACACUGACGCUGAGGAGCGAAAGCCAGGGGAGCAAACGGG